GAAGUUGCCUAGGAAACACUUCUUCUUAGAAAAGAUUCACAAACAGACCUGGAAUGAAUCCUUCUCGCUCUUCAUACACUGAGACAGGAUGAAAUCUAAGACCAUGGCAGGGAGAAGCCGCACGCGGAGUCGCACUGUCAGGACCCAGGAUCGAUCUUAAUCAGAUUGCAAGUUCUUCAGGCUUGGAACGAUAUCACUACAAUGAACAGCCAAGUAUAAAGGGUCCCCGGGGAAACUCCGACCGGCCUGCGCACUGGGAGAAUGGGGUGGAGCCACGGAAGUUCACGCGCUUUGCAGAGGGGAGGAGCCUGGCCUCUCCGGAUCCUGGAUAGUACCUGAGAUUCAAUCGCUGAGGCGGGAAAACCGGCUAGCAGGACUGUUGCUUUGCUGAGAGUCCCUGUUUCCCUUUUUUUCCUUUUGGCCCGAUAACUUCCAUUUUUCUCACCCUUCAAAGUCUCUGUGACCCUAAUCUCUCAUGGCCAUGUGACAAGGGCCCUAAAGAGAAAGUCCUACAACAAUAGCUUUCAUAUGAUAAUAUCAGUGAUAAGCUGUCGUUUACAAUGGACGCCUCUCAGGAAGGUGUCCCUCAAUAACUUGAACAUUUAAAAAAUUAAAAGAUUGAUUGUAGAGAGUCCACCUAUGAAAUGAGCACAUAUUAGGGCAGAGCGAGAAAAUCGACAUAAAGAAACAGAGCAGCUGGCAUGUCUACAAAACUCAACUUGAACAUAGUGGGGGAUAUUAGCA
rnacentral:lncRNA from 1 species